rnacentral:rRNA from 1 species
GAUGAACGCUGGCGGCGUGCCUAAUACAUGCAAGUCGAGCGAACGGACGAGAAGCUUGCUUCUCUGAUGUUAGCGGCGGACGGGUGAGUAACACGUGGAUAACCUACCUAUAAGACUGGGAUAACUUCGGGAAACCGGAGCUAAUACCGGAUAAUAUUUUGAACCGCAUGAUUCAAAAGUGAAAGACGGUCUUGCUGUCACUUAUAGAUGGAUCCGCGCUGCAUUAGCUAGUUGGUAAGGUAACGGCUUACCAAGGCAACGAUGCAAAGCCGACCUGAGAGGGUGAUCGGCCACACUGGAACUGAGACACGGUCCAGACUCCUACGGGAGGCAGCAGUAGGGAAUCUUCCGCAAAGGGCGAAAGCCUGACGGAGCAACGCCGCGUGAGUGAUGAAGGUCUUCGGAUCGUAAAACUCUGUUAUUAGGGAAGAACAUAUGUGUAAGUAACUGUGCACAUCUUGACGGUACCUAAUCAGAAAGCCACGGCUAACUACGUG